rnacentral:rRNA from 1 species
UACGUAGGGGCCGAGCGUUGUCCGGAGUUAUUGGGCGUAAAGCGCGCGCAGGCGGCCUCGCGCGCCCGACGUGAAAGCCCCCGGCUUAACCGGGGAGGGUCGUUGGGGACGGCGGGGCUUGAGGGCGGGAGAGGGCGGUGGAAUUCCCGGUGUAGUGGUGAAAUGCGUAGAGAUCGGCAGGAACACCCAGGGGGAAACCAGUCGACUGGGCAUCUACUGACGCUGAGGUGCGAGAGCGUGGGGAGCGAACCGG